rnacentral:misc_RNA from 1 species
AACAGCAGCAGUAUGGAAGUGUAAG